GAUGAACGCUAGCUACAGGCUUAACACAUGCAAGUCGAGGGGCAUCAGGAAGAAAGCUUGCUUUCUUUGCUGGCGACCGGCGCACGGGUGAGUAACACGUAUCCAACCUGCCCUUUACUCGGGGAUAGCCUUUCGAAAGAAAGAUUAAUACCCGAUAGCAUAAUGAUUCCGCAUGGUUUCAUUAUUAAAGGAUUCCGGUAAAGGAUGGGGAUGCGUUCCAUUAGGUUGUUGGUGAGGUAACGGCCCACCAAGCCUUUGAUGGAUAGGGGUUCUGAGAGGAAGGUCCCCCACAUUGGAACUGAGACACGGUCCAAACUCCUACGGGAGGCAGCAGUGAGGAAUAUCGGUCAAUGGGCGCUAGCCUGAACCAGCCAAGUAGCGUGAAGGAUGAAGGCUCUAUGGGUCGUAAACUUCUUUUAUAUAAGAAUAAAGUGCAGUAUGUAUACUGUUUUGUAUGUAUUAUAUGAAUAAGGAUCGGCUAACUCCGUGCCAGCAGCCGCGGUAAUACGGAGGAUCCGAGCGUUAUCUGGAUUUAUUGGGUUUAAAGGGAGCGUAGGUGGACUGGUAAGUCAGUUGUGAAAGUUUGCGGCUCAACCGUAAAAUUGCAGUUGAUACUGUCAGUCUUGAGUACAGUAGAGGUGGGCGGAAUUCGUGGUGUAGCGGUGAAAUGCUUAGAUAUCACGAAGAACUCCGAUUGCGAAGGCAGCUCACUGGACUGCAACUGACACUGAUGCUCGAAAGUGUGGGUAUCANACAGG
rnacentral:rRNA from 1 species